rnacentral:rRNA from 1 species
GUAGGGAAUAUUGGGCAAUGGAUGCAAGUCUGACCCAGCCAUCCCGCGUGCCGGAAGAAGGCCCUCAGGGUUGUAAACGGCUUUUGACGGUGAAGAACCGACAGGAUGCGUCCUGUUUUGACGGUAGCCGUUGAAUAAGCACCGGCUAACUACGUGCCAGCAGCCGCGGUAAUACGUAGGGUGCGAGCGUUAAUCGGAAUUACUGGGCGUAAAGCGUGCGCAGGCGGCUAUGCAAGACAGAUGUGAAAUCCCCGGGCUCAACCUGGGAACUGCAUUUGUGACGGCAUGGCUAGAGUGCGUCAGAGGGAGGUGGAAUUCCGCGUGUAGCAGUGAAAUGCGUAGAGAUGCGGAGGAACACCGAUGGCGAAGGCAGCCUCCUGGGAUGACACUGACGCUCAUGCACGAAAGCAUGGGGAGCAAACAGGAUUAGAUACCCGAGUAGUCC